rnacentral:rRNA from 1 species
GACGGAGGGUGCUAGCGUUGUUCGGAAUUACUGGGCGUAAAGGGCGCGUAGGCGGCUUGUUAAGUCGGGUGUGAAAGCCCGGGGCUCAACCCCGGAACGGCAUCCGAGACUGGCGAGCUAGAGACCGGGAGAGGAGAGUGGAAUACCCAGUGUAGAGGUGAAAUUCGUAGAUAUUGGGUGGAACACCGGUGGCGAAAGCGGCUCUCUGGCCCGGUUCUGACGCUGAGGCGCGAAAGCGUGGGGAGCAAACAGG